UACGGAGGGUGCAAGCGUUAUCCGGAUUUACUGGGUUUAAAGGGUGCGUAGGUGGACAGGUAAGUCAGUGGUGAAAUCCCCGGGCUUAACCCGGGAACUGCCAUUGAUACUAUCUGUCUUGAAUAUCCUGGAGGUGAGCGGAAUAUGUCAUGUAGCGGUGAAAUGCUUAGAUAUGACAUAGAACACCCAUUGCGAAGGCAGCUCACUACGGGAUCAUUGACACUGAGGCACGAAAGCGUGGGUAGCAAACAGG
rnacentral:rRNA from 1 species